rnacentral:rRNA from 1 species
GGACCCGCACAAGCAGCGGAGCGUGUGGUUUAAUUCGAUGCGACGCGAAGAACCUUACCAGGGCUUGACAUGCUCUCGCACCACUCAGAGAUGGGUGUGCCCGCAAGGGACGGGAGCACAGGUGCUGCAUGGCUGUCGUCAGCUCGUGCCGUGAGGUGUUGGGUUAAGUCCCCCAACGAGCGCAACCCCUAUCGUUGGUUGUAUUUCUCCAGCGAAACUGCCCGCAAGGGAGGAAGGAGGGGAUGACGUCAAGUCAGCACGGCCCUUACGUCCUGGGCUACACACACGCUACAAUGGCUGGUACAAUGGGCUGCCAACCCGCAAGGGGGAGCCAAUCCCAGCAAAGCCAGCCUCAGUUCAGAUUGGUGGCUGCAACCCGCCGCCAUGAAGGUGGAGUUGCUAGUAACCGCAGGUCAGCACACUGCGGUGAAUACGUUCCCGGGUCUU